GGCUCUGGUUGAUGAAGAAGACACGGGCGAAGGGAUCAGAGAGGCCACUGCUGUCAGCGGCAAAGAGGCUUCGGGCCUGAUACAUGUGGGCUCGGAGCUGGAAGGCCUGCUUCUCUGUGGGGAAGAACAGGUUGAGCCAUGCCAUCUGGGCCCCCCCAUGGCCCUCUGGGGGUUCAAACUGGGAGAGUGGCCCACCCAGGACGAAGAGUCCUCACUCACUGGUGUAGACCAGGCUGAUGGGCGGAAAGGAGUGCAGACCCAGGCCUUGGGCGGCCUUGACCUCCUCGAAGCCACAGGGCAGGCCACACAGGAAGUCCUUUCGCUGCUUACUGAGGCCCAGCCACAGGUAGAGCUCCAGCUUGGCCUGUACCGUCCAGCCUGCCGAGCCGAAGCCUCUUUUCCCUGGCAGCUAGGGGCAGGCUUGGGGUCACCAAGAGCCUGGUAACUUCCCGGGCUCACAGGGUAAGGUGGGGGGGGGGGACCCAGGGUGAAGCCUCAGGCAGGGUUAGACAAAGUUGGGCCUACCCCUUCACCGUAGGGAUGUGGGGGUGAAAGACUAAGAAGAGGGAUGGACAGAUGGGGCCGGGUGGGCUCCGGACCUCUGCUGCUAGUUAAGGGCUCUACCUCCUCCUCUUAGGCUUGCCAGACUCGGUGGAGCCUCUACAGGAACCCACCUCACCCCACCCAAGUCCCAUCCCCUGCAGCACCUUGAGGAAGAGGGUCUUGACUUUGGCACAGUCCUUGCCCAGUUCCUCUUCCACAAUGGAGAAGAGCAGGUCUUUGGAGGGCACCCGGGCAUAGGCGAUGCGUUUGUUGUUGCUCAUCAUCCAGAUGAACACAUCUGGAAUGCUGUGCUGGGGCUGCAGUAGAGAGAGAGAGCCAAGGGCACACGCCAGGGGGACCCAGCCUCAGUGUAUAAUGGUACCCUGAGCCUGAUGCACCACACUCGGGAGAGCAGGAACCUGACUGAGGAGAAGCUGGGGGCUUGGAGGGGAAAGACCCUCAUUCUUGGGUUUUCCUUUUUCUCCCGCUGAACUUGCUCCAUCUUGUCCAGAGUGGCUAUCUGAGCAACAGGAUCCACCCAGGGUGUGGGCUUUCUGGCCAGCCCUUUUCUAGGCUGUCCCUGUCCUCUCGGCCACCCACCUCAUCUGCCAGGAAGCGUAGCUUCUGCAGGAAGUUCUGGCACAUCCUCAGCUUGUCCCGGACAGUGUGUCGCUUUACCUGAGCCCUCAGGUUCUUGGCCUGUUGUCCCAUGCUCUCCUGGUGGGAAGAGUGUGGGUAGGAGGAACACUCAGCUUUCAGUGACAGCCUGAGCCACGACAUCAGGAGCAGAUGUCCCUGCUCAUUGGCUUUUCUUGAUCCCGGGGUCCAACAGUAACUCACCAGCUCCCUCAUACAGGACUUGAGGCGCUCGCGGUCCAGCCUGGUGCGGGACGAGUGGCCCUGGUCCUUGUCCGAGAGGGAGAGGAAGCGGCUGUAGAGGGACCGGGGUAGGGAAGACCCAGGGCUUAGUCUCCUCUGCCCUGACCUGGCUGUAGUGUCCACUGUCCCACCCUGCCCUCCCUGUCCACCCUCUUACUGGCAGCCACAGCUCAGCUCCUCUAGCACACCCCGCAGGCGGCGCUCCGGGUAGGACUUCUCCGUUUUGAUCAUCUCCUGCACGUCAUUCAGACCUUCUUCCUGUGAACCGGGGUUUCAAGUGCACUCUGGGCCCCAGCCCUCCUCAUCCCAGAUGUCAGUCCCAUUCACCCCAGGAAAGAGGAACCUAGUAACGGGGGGGCCGUUCCAUAUGUAUUAUGAAGGAGCCAAGUUCCCAGGGCCUGUUUUAGACGUUAGGGAUUCUUGGUUACUCAUGGGUCCUCAGCUCCUCCAGGAAGAAGUAUCCUGGGCUGGGACCAUGGUGGGCUGAGCACGACCCCGGGCUGGAGAGAGGCCUUGUGCAGACUUGAAGCCUGCCCAGCUGCCUCUGAGAGCCCAGACCUAGAGGGUCAGACCCUUAGACUCUACUCCAGAGCACUGGGAUCCUGUUGGGGGGGGGGUCCCCUUUCUCUAUUUCAAGACAGCCUCUGGAUAGACAGCCUGUGUUUUACAGGUGAGGCCCUCACACAUGCCCAUACUUCCAGAUCCCACCACCCCCGCCUGGCCCUGACCAGCUUAUCAGCUAUGUGGUCCAUGAUGUUCGCAUUGUAGAGACGGCGUCGCUGGUCAGGCCACCAGCUCUUGAUGUAGAUGCAGGGUUUGCGCUCCAGGCUCCUUCCUGGGCCGAGGCCGCGGGGGCCGUGACAUGCCAUCCACUUCAUUGCCAUAGUUUCCUAGACAAAGAGUGGCUUGUAAGAGGCCUACACCCCACCCUCCAUCCAGUCCACAUCUGUCUCUUGGAGAGAAGCUAGAGCCAUCAGAGGAAGGAGCCUCCGCUGAUGAAAUGCUACCUUGAGAUCCAGCUGGCACGGGGUCAACGGUGACAACCCCAAACCUGAAACUCUCCACAUGAUCCCAGCAGCACUCACCAAUGGUCACUUCAAAGGGGCCUUGGUGAGGUGUGUGGGAGAGAAAGCCAGACUCCUGUUUCCCACAGCUGUAGGCACCACCUUUGGACAGGCGCCACUUCCUACACUCCACAGCAUGGAUCCUCAGUUUUUGUUUCGUUUCUGGAUGUAGGAUGUACACAUAUCCUGCCCCUCCUGCUUAGGAGACCUUCCCUCCUCUCUGUGUUCUCUUGGUUAUUCACGGGCCCUCAGCUCCUUCAGGGAGAAGCACUCUGGGCUGUGAUCAUGGUGGGUUGAACAGGACCUGGGGCUGGAGAGCAGCCUCAUUCUCUGUCACCAGCUACUUCUCUCAGGCUUAGGAUUUGUUGGGCCUCAUCCAACAAAUUUUGCCUUAUGUGAAUCUAAUUCGUCCU